GAUUUCUGGAUGGCUGUGCUAGCCCGCUGGCUUUCGGGUCGGUGAGCGCCGGUACGAGUCAUUCAUCUUUGUAGGGAGCCUGGUCUGCCCUUUUUUGGGUGGGUCUGUGCGAACUACAUCAUUUACUUUGAAAAAAUUAGAGUGUUUAAAGCAGGCUUACGCUAUGAAUACAUUAGCAUGGAAUAAUAAUCUAGGACUUCGGUUCUAUUUUGUUGGUUUCUAUAACUGAAGUAAUGAUUGAUAGGGAUAGUUGGGGGUGCUAGUAUUGGCCGGCCAGAGGUGAAAUUCUUGGAUUCGGUCAAGACUAACUUAUGCGAAAGCAUU
rnacentral:rRNA from 1 species